CCCUUAGAUGUUCUGGGCAGCACGCGCGCUACAAUGGUCUUCGCAAACGGAUGCAUUCUCGAAGGAGAAUGCCAAUCUUGGAAUCUAUGCCUUGGUCGGGACAGUUGCUUGCAAUUUUUCGACUCGAACCAGGAAUUCCUUGUAAUCGUGAUUCAUCACAUCACGAUGAAUACGUCCCUGCCCUUUGUACACACUGCCCGUCGCUCCUACCGAUCGAAGAGUUAGGUGAAUUGUUUUGAUCGAUAAGAUUUGACUAUGGUCAACUCUCGUUGUGAAAUUCUGUGAAUCUGACUGUUUAGAGGAAGGAAAAGUCGUAACA
rnacentral:rRNA from 1 species